AUGCAGACUCUGUCCGCGCAGCCCCUUGCCUCCUCCUCUUCCUCGAUACAGCGCCAAAAUGGGCGCCGACGGGGCACCAGCUCCGUCCGGUUCGCGCCCCGCGCGGCCGCCGCGGCGGCCGACUCGGUGCUGAUCGCCGCCUCCACCAGCACGGCCCGCCCGCCGGCGUACCUGCCAUCGCCCUCCACCAGGAAGGUCCCCGGGUACGAGCAGUCCGCGCCGCCUGCCAUUGCCUCGCCGCAGAAGCAGGGGAGCAGCAAGGACGGGCAGAGCAAGGGCGGCCUCAACUUCUUCCAGCGCGCGGCGGCCGCGGCGCUCGACGCCUUCGAGGAGGGGUUCAUCCACAAUGUCCUGGAGCGGCCCCACGCGCUGCCGCGCACCGCCGACCCCGCCGUGCAGAUCGCCGGCAACUUCGCCCCCGUCGGCGAGCAGGCCCCCGUGCGCGCGCUCCCGGUCUCCGGCCGCAUCCCGCCCUUCAUCAACGGCGUCUACGCCCGCAACGGCGCCAACCCCUGCUUCGAGCCCACGGCGGGGCACCACCUCUUCGACGGCGACGGCAUGGUGCACGCCAUCCGCAUCCGCAACGGCGCCGCCGAGUCCUACGCCUGCCGCUACACCGAGACGGCCCGCCUCUCCCAGGAGCGCGCCGUCGGGAGGCCCAUUUUCCCUAAGACCAUCGGCGAGCUCCACGGCCACUCUGGCAUCGCGAGGCUGGCUCUGUUCUACGCGCGCGGCGCCUGCGGCCUCGUCGACCCGUCCCACGGCACCGGCGUCGCCAACGCCGGCCUCGUCUACUUCAACGGCCGCCUCCUCGCCAUGUCCGAGGACGACCUCCCGUACCAGGUCCGCGUCACCGCCGGCGGCGACCUCGAGACCGUCGGCCGCUACGACUUCGACGGCCAGCUCGACUGCGCCAUGAUCGCGCACCCCAAGCUCGACCCCGUCUCCGGCGAGCUCUUCGCGCUCAGCUACGAUGUCAUCAAGAAGCCGUACCUCAAGUACUUCUACUUCCACGCCGACGGCACCAAGUCCGCCGACGUCGAGAUCGAGCUCGACCAACCCACCAUGAUCCACGACUUCGCCAUCACCGAGAACUUCGUCGUCGUGCCCGACCACCAGAUGGUGUUCAAGCUCGCCGAGAUGUUCCGCGGCGGCUCGCCGGUGAUGCUCGACAAGGAGAAGACCUCCCGCUUCGGCGUCCUCCCCAAGUACGCCAAGGACUCGUCGGAGAUGAUGUGGGUGGACGUGCCCGACUGCUUCUGCUUCCACCUCUGGAACUCGUGGGAGGAGCCGGAGACGGACGAGGUGGUGGUGAUCGGCUCCUGCAUGACCCCCGCCGACUCCAUCUUCAACGACACGGACGACCACCUCGAGAGCGUGCUCACCGAGAUCCGGCUCAACACGCGCACCGGCGAGUCCACGCGGCGGACAUCCUGCCGCUGGAGAGCCAGGUGA
rnacentral:rRNA from 1 species